rnacentral:tRNA from 1 species
GGCCGGUUAGCUCAGCUGGUUAGAGCAUGGUGCUAAUAACGCCAAGGUCGGGGGUGUACUGGCCA